UCUCCGUAGGUGAACCUGCGGAGGGAUCAUUACUGAGUGAGGGAGCAAUCCCGACCUCCAACCCUUUGUGAACACAACUUGUUGCUUCGGGGGCGACCCUGCCGUUUCGACGGCGAGCGCCCCCGGAGGCCUUCAAACACUGCAUCUUUGCGUCGGAGUUUAAGUAAAUUAAACAAAACUUUCAACAACGGAUCUCUUGGUUCUGGCAUCGAUGAAGAACGCAGC
rnacentral:misc_RNA from 1 species